CUCUGGGCUGAGUCCACUUUAGACAUGGCGCUCAGCCCAACACCCACCCAGAAGUCUGGCAUUUCAGGCCCAGGGCAUCUCCAGGAAGACAGACAGACCGACCUGGGUCUGGGCUCAGGCUGAGAGGGAGCCUUUGCACCCCACAGCCCGGUGUCUAGCAGAGCCUGUGGCUCCCAGAUCGCCUCAUUGUCCCCACUGACAAGCCAGAGAGGCCCCAGCAGGGCUGCUCCAGAGCCCCAGCCCACCAGGUCGCCCACCCCCAUCUCCCUCUCUGGGUUUCCAGCUCUGUUUCACCCCGACUCCGCCUGGGGUUCACAGUGGGUGCCCAGACCAGCCUCCUGCCGGGUCCGGGAGGGUGCAGACCAAGCCAAGGGCUUCGGAUGGCCACGAGGCCCAGAGGGACCCUGGCGUUCUGAGGGCCGCUGUGGAAAGAGGUCCAGGGCUUGCGCCCCCUUUGCAUGUGAGGAAGCCGAG